rnacentral:lncRNA from 1 species
AAUAUCAAUCCAUAUAUAUAUAUAUAUAUAUAUAUAUAUAUAUAGGCUAAUGUUACUAUCAUAUUAAUAGGAUAGAAGCACUUGUCCUAUCAAGUUGUUCUUGAUGAUCGAGAUUCCGAAUCGAUGAUCGGAGCCGUUGAAAUUGAUAUAGAGUAUUUGAAAUAUCUAGAAACUAAAUUUCAUAAAUUUUGAUAAUGGUUUACAUGGUGAUCAAAGUGUCGUAAAAUCAACAAUUUUUGACGGCCUAUAUGAGCCGUUUGCUUGUUUAACGGUGUAGAGCAAUCCAAAUUGCUUGAGUUUUUGAUAGAAAAUUUUUUAUACUAUUUAGAUAAUGUUUGAUAACUCUGAUUACGAACUAAGAAAGUCUAACCUCUGUUUUAAGUAGGUUAUUCAUUUAUGACCGUUCAUUUUUCAACUCUUAAGAUGAACUUGAUAAUGAUUUUUAAAUAUUACAAAAUUUGGUUUCUAAAUAUUUCUAAUUGUGUAGAUCAACUUCAACGGUGCCGAUUAUCAAUUUGAAGUUUUGAUCAUUCAAAUCGACUUGAUAGGACAAGGGUCCCAAUCCUAUUAAUAGGAUAGUAGCCGGACCCUAUAUAUAUAUAUAUAUAUAUAUAUAUAAAUAUAAAAUUAAGCUACAAUACUAUUAAUAGACCAAGUCUUUGAUGCUAUUAAGUUUUCGACUCUUAGAUGAAAGGAUGUGCGAUUAAGAUGAUAGUAGUCCUUCAGGGUUUAGUGGGUGGGUUAGUAGAGGAGUAUGAUCUAAGGAGUGGAAUGGUCAAAGGGAUUAGAUCUAAUAGUAGAAAACUUGGUAGUACCAAGUGCUUGAUGCUAUUGAUAGUAUUGCAGCCGGACUCUCUCCCUCUCUCUAUAUAUAUACAUAUAUUUGACCUAUUUUGACAUUAAUUGGGAUGUCUGUCCAAAGCAUUGGUAAUUUCAUGCAUUUACUAAUUGAGUGUGAAUCAAGCAUUACCUAUACGUAGGAAUGCCGACAGAAAUAUAGAAAGUGGUCCAUUCGACGUCUCAUUAGAAUAUAGAAAGUUGAUUUGAAUUGGUUACUGUGAGAUUUUUUUUUUUUUUUUUUUUUUCUCGAGAGAGAGAGAGAGAGAGAGAGAGAGAGAGAGAGAGAAAGCAAGCUAUGCAUCUGCUUUGUUUAUUUUUCAAAAUAGUCUUAGCUAGAAAUAUAAAAUAACUAGACUUUAAACUUAAAACUUCGAGUAUUAACUUUUAAGCUCUUAGCCAACUAUAAUAGAUAUUGUCAGUUUAUCGUAAAAAAUUUAUUUGUGAAGCAUAGUCUCAUACGAAAUGAAUAUUAAUAGAAG